GAUGAACGCUGGCGGCGUGCUUUACACAUGCAAGUCGAACGGCAGCACAGGGAGCUUGCUCCCGGGUGGCGAGUGGCGCACGGGUGAGUAAUACAUCGGAACGUGUCCUGUUGUGGGGGAUAACUGCUCGAAAGGGUGGCUAAUACCGCAUGAGACCUGAGGGUGAAAGCGGGGGAUCGCAAGACCUCGCGCAAUUGGAGCGGCCGAUGCCCGAUUAGCUAGUUGGUGAGGUAAAGGUUCACCAAGGCGACGAUCGGUAGCUGGUCUGAGAGGACGACCAGCCACACUGGGACCGAGACACGGCCCAGACUCCUACGGGAGGCAGCAGUGGGGAAUUUUGGACAAUGGGGGCAACCCUGAUCCAGCCAUGCCGCGUGCAGGAUGAAGGCCUUCGGUUGUAAACUGCUUUGUCAGGGACGAAAAGGACCGGUGUUAAUACCAUGGUCUGCUGACGGUACCUCGAAGAAUAAG
rnacentral:rRNA from 1 species